GGAAAGAGUUUGGUGAAGGACCCUUUUGGGCAAGAGUGAUGCGAGUCCUUGAGGGUUCGUGUCCUGCUGACCUGGGCCGGACAUGGCACCCUCCAUCAGAAAUUUUUCUGUGUCAUGAACUGUUCUGAGAACCCUGAAGCCAAAUAUUUCUACCUCAGUUUAAUGAGUGUAGAAGGACCGAGUGUUUUCGAGAACAAAGGAGUCUACAUUCACACUCCCCCAGUCUCAUUAGCACACAAAGAUGAGAUGUCUGAUCACGGGCUAAUGAAGUUACUCCCCGGCCACGGUCAUUUAUGUUCUCACCCGGGGCUUCUAGGGACACAAGGCCCAGGAACAAGGACAGUUCAGAAUUUUUGCAGAGUCAAUACCACACCGGUCUCCAGAUGAAAUGCUGGAUCCUCUUGCCUGGUGUCCCGCUGCCUGGCGCUCACCCUGCCCUGGACCGCGGUGCAGCCUCCGCAUCUGGGAGGAAAAAACUGCGGCGGGCAGGCGAGCCGGGGCGGGGACCGCGCCGCGGUGGCUGCUCUGCGGCUCGGAACGGGGCCCAGGCUCGGGCCUUACCAGGGCCCCAGCCCCGCCGCGCUCCUCCCCUCCCCCUCCCUCAAUCCCACCUCGAGUCCCGCGCCCUUAAAGGAAGUCCAUGGCUUUGCCCGGUCACCAACAGGGUGUCGGCCGGCCCCUUCUGUGCUACGGUGCGGCCGACUUGGGCUCUUCAGGACACCGCCACGUCCUCUGGGUGGGCGCCCGUCGCCUCCUCCCCGGGGUUGACCCCACGGGUCUCCGGGCGAUUCUUCCCUAGUCUUUCCAGCCCGUGGGCGGCGGCGGCGGCGGCGGCGGCGCGGAGUGUCGCGGAGCUGUCCCCGCAGAGCCCUCCCGGGGCGGCGAUCCGGUCCCCGCGCCGCCUCCGGCGUCUCCCCAGCCUGGCCUCCGCCGAGCCGGCUGCGGUCCACGUGGCUCCGGAGCUCGCAGGAAGCCCCGAGCGAGCCGAAAGCCGAGCCGAGAGCGGGCGGAGGGGGCGCGGGAGGGGGGGGGGGGAGCGGGCCCGGGGGGCGGGCACUGGGCGGAGGAAGGGGAGGGCCGCGCGCAGCCCAGGCGCCCGCCCCGCUCCGGCGCGCCCCGCUCCCGGCCCCGGCCGGCCAGGGAAGCGGCCCCUCCCCGGCCGCCCGCCGGCCCCUCCCGUUACACCCGGGGGAAGGUGUUCCCGAGACCGCUCCCAUCCUCACCCCGCCUCCCCGCUUCCCCGGCUCCAGCCUCCGCCGGCGGAGCUCCACUAUGCCAGACAGUUUCGACACUUUGCAAAGACAAAGACCAGAGGGAGGAGGAAGAGGAGGACAGGGAGGGCGAGGAGGAGGAGGGAGAGGAGGACGGCGCGAUGUGAGCCGGGAAGGGGGCCAGUGCUCGGGACAACCCCCCCUUUAGUCUCCCCGGAGCCCCUCAUCUCCAAAGCCGCCGAAACUCCAGCGUGUCUCCGGCUGCGUUGGGACCGUUUUCAGACUCCACCUUUCUGA
rnacentral:lncRNA from 1 species